rnacentral:rRNA from 1 species
UACGGGGGGGGCAAGCGUUGUUCGGAAUUACUGGGCGUAAAGGGCUCGUAGGCGGCCAACUAAGUCAGACGUGAAAUCCCUCGGCUUAACCGGGGAACUGCGUCUGAUACUGGAUGGCUUGAAUCCGGGAGAGGGAUGCGGAAUUCCAGGUGUAGCGGUGAAAUGCGUAGAUAUCAGGAGGAACACCAAUGGCGAAGGCAGCUCGCUGGAACGGUACUGACGCUGAGGCGCGAAAGCGUGGGGAGCGAACAGG